UUACAAACGACCGUCACAGAGCAUGACAGAAGACUUCCCGAUAACAGAGAUGUUCUAAGUAGCACGUUGAAGCUGCUCAUUAAGCUUUUAUGUCAUGGUCUGUUGUACACAUAGAUCACUACAGCUCCUUACGCUAGCCUCCCAAUUCUCUGCUUUUAACCCUAAUAUGUUCUGGCUCCUUUCUCGAUGACAGUUUUUUGGCUGUCAUUUGUGAAUGACAUCAUUAGAAAAACUUUGACAAGAAUUAAUUUUCUGUGUCUGUGUUCACUGUGGCUUCUUUGACUACUGAAAUGGCCCAGGGGUGGGGUUCCUGGACUAAGCAUGUGCAGGGCGAGGCUGGCCCUUCUGCUCUGGAUCUCAUGAGGAGGCCAGUUAUCACAUUCCAGACAAACCUUGGAUGGGAGCAUUUCUUUUGGACCAAGGGACUUCCUGAUACCAAGACCCUGAAGCUCAUUCAGAACAGUCUGAGCUACGCUCACCAGACAGAAACAAUGAAGUCCUGUGGACAAAACAGAGGCUUUGGGACCUGCAGAAUGAGGUUCCAGGGACCCUGGCUGGGUACUCUGGGCUACUGCAGUCUCAGGAGGCAUUGGAUGUGAAGUUGGAUCCUUCCCAGAAGCAUCUAGAAGACAAAAAACAUAGAAAGCAGACAGAGCUAUGCUUGGAAGCACCAGGGUGAUGCACUUGGCCAUGAAGUGAGAGGAGAAGGGGCUGAUCGCCCAAGCACAUCCCUGUUCCUGGACCUCAGUCAGCAUGGGGAGCCCUCUGAGAAGGAUAGAGGUGACAGUUACUGGGAAACAAUGUGAACCACCUUGGCUGCAGUUUUCAGUUUUAUCAGCCACUUGUAUUCCAUGUGGCCCACAUGUAUUCCAUGUGUCCUAGGAGGUGGCUGAGACAAUGAUGUCCUUGCUAUGCCCCUGUAGAUGUACUGCCCCAGCACAGCCUGUGAUGUUAUAAAUGGCUCACGUUGAAUCUGCCCCUUAAAUGCUGACUUUUAGCUUUUGCAAUUUGCUUAGUAGAAGGAGAGAAGACCAGCUAUUUCAGAAUACGCCAAUAAAAUUGCUCAUGGACUGAAAGAACCACUGGUCCUUUUGAUUUACAUCAGCACACAUUGCUGUUUGUCAAAUGUACUUGGAGGUUCUCUUGAAAUUUCAUGCUGUAAAUAAGAUGGCCGCAUUUGCCUAGGGAAUAUACCCGCCUCCAUACGCCCAUUUUGAUAAUUAGUAUAGUAAAAUCAAUAUGGUGGAAACUGAGGGCCUGUCAAGAAUGAGCAAUGGGGUGGCUCGUCCUCUGAUUGAACUUUGGCAUAUAUAUUGCAUAGGAGGCCCUUGGAUGACUAGGUAGAGGUGAUUUGAAUAGCUCUUUGUAAACAACUGAUAGAUUACUAUCUAAAAAACAAUACAGAAAAUACCCACGUUCUCUGUGGCUCCAAUGGGAAGAAUAAAGCCAAAUUUAUGCAACAGUUGCGGGUCAAAAGUUUCAGCUCAACACCAUCUCCAUUCAGCAAGGAAGAGUUUGCUUUUGAACUGGUUGACCUAUCAGCAGAGAUCUCUAUGCUGGAUGUUUCUAAGAUGAGUCUAUUGUGGGCUGUACAUUUAAAUAAGAUGACCUCAAAUGUCACUUUGAUUUUUAAGAUGCUCUAAUUUUUUUUUCUAGUCACAUUCCAUAGAUGAGAGGACAAUGAUGAGCAAGACAUGGAGAGAUGUGCUCUGUUUUUAAUUCCACAUUUUUAAUCAAGAAAAGCAGAGCCACCCUGAGGAAUUCUUAAAAUCUAUAAGUAAUUAAUAAACUCAUAGCACCAUGAAGGAAAUAUUUUAAUCUCCUAUAAUCUUACCAUCCUCACAUAACGAGUAUUUUAAUUUCUUUAUGUUCAUAUAAAAUUUACUAUUUUCAGGGUGCUUGAUUUUUGUGCAAUUUUAAUCAUGUCACAGAGAAGGUUUGGUGAGAAUCAGAUUUUUUAAACUUGAAUUCAGGUGAUUAGGAACAGAAUCAUUCGUUAGAUCUCACUUUAAGUGUGUAGUAACAAUAACAAAUAUUAUAGUGCUUUCUAGUAAAUGUAUAUAAAUAAUGAAAUUUUGCACACAAAGUUAUGAAUAAAUAAUGUUAAUCUUAAGAUGUGUCCAUUUCCUGCUAGCAAUCUUUUUUGCUUAAUGCUCUGUACUGCAUAUUUUCAUAAUUAUAUGGUCCAUACGUGGGCUUCAGAGACACUGUGAAAAGUGUGAAUUUGUCUAUGAAUUUUGCAAGGAUGUCUGUUUGCUAUUUUUUCCCCUGGGAGAAAGAUCAGUGUUUUAUCAGUUUCUCAAAAGAGGCUGUGGCCCCUAAUCUCUUAUGCACUAUUGCACCCAGAAUGAAGCCCAAACUUCUUAGGUAGUUCAUACAACACCUCCACACCUCUGCACAGGCAUGUGCACGCACACUGGGCUCCUUGCUGUAAUCUGUUUCUCAUUUCUCAUCUCCACUUCCCUCCUCUGGCUCCUUUGUAGCUUUAAAAAAAUUAUGUCUGUUCCCCCAAAAGGUUAUGAUUUUCAUAAAAGGCAUGUUUCAGAGUUUUAACAAAUGAUUCCCCUAGCCUGGUGAACAUGCUUUCUCUUUGGGGACACCAUCCUCAACUUCCUUCAGCAGGGGCCAUCCUCUGCUGCCUGUGAGACAGCACCUAUCCGUGGAGGCACGACUUGGGUGGAGUCUUAUUCUACCAGGGAGCUGUUUCCACAGCUACUGCAGUGCCUUAGGGACUAUAGUUGCUUCAUCCCUAUUUGUGGAGGAGAGAAAGGAUCUAACUAGAUGGUCAUGGUCACCAUCCUCUAAGUGAAAUAUACAUCCCCUUUGCCUACCCAUUACUCAGCACAAUCAGCACAGCCUACCUCUACCUUUGUAGAGUGAAGAGGGGCAAAUGGAGGGCGAUCGGAAAACCUUGCCUUGGAGAGUCUAAGCUACAUUCCAUCUCCUGACCACUCCAUGUGGCUAUUUUUAAGUUUCAUGAAGAUUAUUUGCUCCAUCAGCUAAUAAUUUGAUGUGUGUUAUUUUGCAUGAUUUUUGUACAUCCCCAAUUAGCUUUCUAUUUAGCAUUUGUUCGGAUACAUCCUAUUGGUUUGUAGUAUUCAAAGCUCAUUAUCAUGCCUUUUUUGAGAAUAAAAUAUAAUUUAAUCAUGACUCUGAUUCAUGUUGAUGGUAUCCAUUGUUUGGGACCAUGCUUUAGCUUUGGCAUUUACAAAACAUUCCCAUUUCUUUAUCUGGCAGAAACAGUUGACAUAUCUUCUACAUGUACCCUUGAUCCAGGCUUGACCAGCAUUCCCUGAGGAAUUUGGGAAGGGCAAAACAGAAGUUUAACAGUAAGGACCUGUGCCUGCAGAUGACUGGCAUAUAAACUACAGCCUUAGAAAAGCGAAUGAGGUCCAAGCCAAACCUAAACACAAAAUAAGCUCACUGUGACGGGUGGUUGUGUGUUUAUGUGUGGGUGUGUGUCCAUGUGCAUGUACACACAUGCACACUGGUGGUAGGGUUGUGUGAGAGAGGACAAGAAAAAUCAGAGUAGCCUUGAUGGGGAGAAAGCAAUGGCUGGUUGGUUCAAUUCUACAUUCUCUGUUAACAUCUUACACACACAUAGGUGUGCGACUGUAAAUGUUUUGCAUUGCUAAAUUCAUCUCAUAGGGAAUGAACAAAAUUGGUUGCUGGUAGGAGAAAAAUUAAAGUCUAAGAGUCGGAUUGAGAACUAAGAGAGUAUGAGGAACUGGCUAAUAGGCAAUUGGGUAAUUUGUGUGUCCAUCCCCACCUGUAGACUCCUAUUUUUACAGAAGUCACCUCCUUAGAGUCCUAUUUUUACACAAGUCUAAAGACUCCUUACUAGGAAAUGAGUCUUGGCAUUGGUAAGCUAAAGCUAAUAUUUACUGAGGAUUCUGAUUAGUGUUGUAAUGCAGGGCCCAGCAUGGCAACGUGAUUGGCAAUGCUCGAUGUGCCUGCGUGUGCCACACACUCGGAUUCUUUCCCAUGGUGAC
ensembl:lncRNA